rnacentral:rRNA from 1 species
GACGAACGCUGGCGGCGUGCUUAACUCAUGCAAGUCGAACGGAAAGGCCCUGCUUUUGUGGGGUGCUCGAGUGGCGAACGGGUGAGUAACACGUGAGUAACCUGCCCUUGACUUUGGGAUAACUUCAGGAAACUGGGGCUAAUACCGGAUAGGAGCUCCUGCUGCAUGGUGGGGGUUGGAAAGUUUCGGCGGUUGGGGAUGGACUCGCGGCUUAUCAGCUUGUUUGUGGGGUAGUGGCUUACCAAGGCUUUGACGGGUAGCCGGCCUGAGAGGGUGACCGGCCACAUUGGGACUGAGAUACGGCGCAGACGCCUACGGGAGGCAGCAGUGGGGAAUAUUGCACAAUGGGCGGAAGCCUGAUGCAGCAACGCCGCGUGCGGGAUGACGGCCUUCGGGUUGUAAACCGCUUUCGCCUGUGACGAAGCGUGAGUGACGGUAAUGGGUAAAGAAGCACCGGCUAACUACGUG